rnacentral:rRNA from 1 species
GUCGAACGGUGAAGGAGAGCUUGCUCUUUGGAUCAGUGGCGAACGGGUGAGUAACACGUGAGCAAUCUGCCCCUGACUCUGGGAUAAGCGUUGGAAACGACGUCUAAUACCGGAUAUGAGCUACGACCGCAUGGUCGGUAGUUGGAAAGAAUUUUGGUCAGGGAUGAGCUCGCGGCCUAUCAGCUUGUUGGUGAGGUAAUGGCUCACCAAGGCGUCGACGGGUAGCCGGCCUGAGAGGGUGACCGGCCACACUGGGACUGAGACACGGCCCAGACUCCUACGGGAGGCAGCAGUGGGGAAUAUUGCACAAUGGGCGCAAGCCUGAUGCAGCAACGCCGCGUGAGGGACGACGGCCUUCGGGUUGUAAACCUCUUUUAGCGAGGAAGAAGCGAAAGUGACGGUACUCGCAGAAAAAGCACCGGCUAACUACGUGCCAGCAGCCGCGGUAAUACGUAGGGUGCAAGCGUUAUCCGGAAUUAUUGGGCGUAAAGAGCUCGUAGGCGGUUUGUCGCGUCUGCUGUGAAAUCUGGGGGCUCAACCCCCAGCCUGCAGUGGGUACGGGCAGACUAGAGUGCGGUAGGGGAGAUUGGAAUUCCUGGUGUAGCG